AACGAACGCUGGCGGCAUGCCUAACACAUGCAAGUCGAACGACACCUUCGUGUCUAGUGGCGCACGGGCGCGUAACGCGUGGGAACCUGCCCUUAGGUUCGGAAUAACACCCCGAAAGGGGUGCUAAUACCGGAUAAUGUCUUCUGACCAAAGAUUUGUCGUCUUUGUGUGAGCGGGCGUUGGAUUAGCUAGUUGCUAGGGUAAAAGCCUACCAAGGCUACGAUCCAUAGCUGGUCUGAGAGGAUGAUCGGCGACACUGGGACUGAGACACGGCCCAGACUCUUACGGGAGGCAGCAGUGGCGAAUAUUGGACAAUGGGCGAAAGCAUGAUCCAGCAAUGCUGCGUGAGUGAUGAAGGCCUUAGAGUAGUAAAGCUCUUUUAUCCGGGAUGAUAAUGACAGUACCGGGAGAAUAAGCACCGGCUAACUCCGUG
rnacentral:rRNA from 1 species